rnacentral:misc_RNA from 1 species
AGACUUCAACCCCUCGGGUUUUUCCCGGGGAGGCUGGACUUGGGCGCUGCCAUUCACUUGGCUCGCCUCAAAUGCGUCAGUGGUGAUCAGACCAAUGACCGGAGUAAUAAGUUUCUCUGGCCUGUGUCGACGAUGGCUGCUCAUAACCCGCCCUCGGGCAUCUAUGA